AUACGGGGGGGGCAAGCGUUGUUCGGAUUUACUGGGCGUAAAGGGCUCGUAGGCGGCCAUUUAAGUCGGUUGUGAAAUCCCUCGGCUCAACCGAGGAACUGCGACCGAUACUGGAUGGCUUGAAGCCGGGAGAGGGAUGCGGAAUUCCAGGUGUAGCGGUGAAAUGCGUAGAUAUCUGGAGGAACACCCGUGGCGAAGGCGGCAUCCUGGACCGGUCUUGACGCUGAGGAGCGAAAGCUAGGGUAGCAAACGGGAUUAGAUACCCCAGUAGUCC
rnacentral:rRNA from 1 species